rnacentral:rRNA from 1 species
CCUGAGAAAUCCAAAAGAUCGAAUGGGGAGAUUCACCGUUAGCGCGUCGGCUCGCUUUCGGAGGCGAUGGUUCGUUGGGCUUCGGCUCGGCGUACGCUUUCGCUCGUCGUGUCCGAUGUCGCUGAUGUGCACUUCUCCCCUAGUAGAACGUCGCGACCCGUUGGGUGUCGGCCUACGGUACGGCAAGGUAGACUGUCGUGUCGCGUUCACGCGCGUACACGUCAGACCGUCGUUAUACCCGGCCGGCUGCCCGGCGGUAUAAGUCAUCGAACCGAUUGACAAUGGUAACGGGCCGCACGAUAUCGAUCGCCGUUUACGGCGAUCGUGUUAUGUGCGUUCAGGCUCGUCGGCAGGUCGCCCGCGCACGGAUUUACGAACCUAGUCGUCGUAUCCGGGCGCGCAACUCUUAUUGGUGGCCGUUAGUCGACGAUGUCCUCGGACCGGCUCUCACCGCGUCGUCUCAUUUUAUGGGGCGGCGUCAUACCGGUCUGCGACGCUACUGCUUUGGGUACUUUCAGG